AUUUUAUGAUUUUUUUUAUAUAUGUAAAAAGUGAGAUUAUUUUUUAUCGCGGACAAAAGUUAUUUUGUUGCAUCCGGCGUCUGAUGAAUUGAGUCGAGAAAAUGAUUUUCUACUACAGAACAGUCCACGCGGCACAGAAACGAGUCGGAGUUGGAAAAAUUUGAGAGGGCGACGGCGGCCUUAUCCAGAGAAUACCGACGAUUCCGCACGUCAUUUCACCUUUUGCGCUGGAAACUUUCCUAGAGCCACAACCACAUGGAACAAUCAAGAAGAAUCUGCUAGCUUGGGCCACGAUCACAGCCAGUGUAGAAUCCACCAAUUGGGUCCCGAUGGUCUUUGAAACGCUGGGAAGGAUCCUAGUGCAUCUGUCUAUUUAUUGCUAUUACCAGGGAGACUUGCGAAGACAGACCUAGGGAGACGAUGCUGUUCUCAGAUUCGCCGGCCCUCUUCCUCUUCCAAACGCUCAUCUCCCUCGUCCUGUUCGUCAUCUUCUUCAAAAUCGCCGCCAUCUUCGUCUUUCUCGUCUUCCUCUUCGCCCUGUGUUCGGACCUCGUCUAUGUUAUUACGGAUCUUCUUGUCUAUCACCCCUGAAAGGCUGUGAAAGCAGCGGGUGAAACCAUGAGAACUCCUAGCUCUUUCGAUUUCCCUUUCAGACUUGCGGAAGUCAUCUACGAGGUUUGGGAAGAAAGGGGAAGUCGUUGAUUGAUCGAGGCCUGAUUGAUGGCCGAAACACGUCCUUCAUCUUCACAAGUCGUGAUCGCAAAGGGAUGGAGCCGGGCGGCGGGAUCGGGAGGAAUUCCAUAUUCAGAUGAUGUGCUUGAGAGACGGCCACCGAUUUUGCAGUCUGAAAAUCUCCCGGUGUACUAGAUCUGCUUAAUAAGUAGAUAAGUGUGGUAUGCAAAAGCAGAAUUUCUUCAUUUGUAUAGCUCCUGAAAUAAUGUAAAUGUAGGAGUUUUUGUAUGUAUGAUUAUGUAAAGUCAAUGACCAAUCUACCCGUGCUUUCAACACGGCUGGGUGCACGAUGACAAUGGAAGAUCUAUAAUGAUUUUUUAACCAAUUUUUUCAAUAUAGAUUCAUAGUUCUGCAUAUUAUUUUUGAAAACACAUAAAAAGGUAGAUCAGUAAAAAAAAAAAAAAAUCGUAGUUAUAUCAUUUUUUAUUGUUUGGAAAUCUGACAGAACAUAUCAAUAAUGUAUACUUCUUGAUUCUAUUAGCGAGAAGGAUGGGUAUGCAUUAAGCAUGUUGUUAUUUUUCUUAAUUUUUUUAUCCAAAAUUUUCUAAUACUUAAGUCAUCUUUAACAAAAAUUAAAACCCCACUUAUCAUAUAUAAGGGGGUAAAACUCAUGCCUGUCGAGCCAUAUAGCGAGCUUUAUCCAGCAGUUUCCUUUGUAUAAUCAUAAAUUCCUAAUCCUAACAAAUCUAUAGUCAUGGACCUCUAAUUGUUAUACAAAUUUUGAUAAUAAAUUUAUAAUAGUAUGCAUAUAUAGAUUCUAUUUUGAAAUAUCCAUAGGCUAAACUUUUAAAAGUAAUGGAAUAAAUUCCAAUAUGUAACUUAUAAAAAGAAAAUUAAAUGCUUAAAAAGUCAUAUUCCAUGACUACACAUAGAAAUGUAUAGCUUUUUAGAAAAAUAUGAAAAUAAGAAAAAACACGUAGAAAAGUGUGGAAAAAGGGGGGCUUAAGGAUGGGACUAGGCGAAAAUGAAUGUAGCAUUGAAAGGCCAGUCGCUCUCACGGGUGGAGACGUAGAUGUGCGUGUAUCCACUAGGAUAUCUUAGCUUAGGGUCAAAUUCUCCACAAUUUUUCUUUAAAAAAAAAACAUCAAUUUUUAUUUGCGAGACAAUUUUUGGCUCUAUUAAAAAAGCACAAUCUAGAAUUUUGGACAAAACAAAAAUUGUUCCGAUCCUUGGUUAUGCCCUACAACUGGCAGUUUUAAAAUUGACCGACUCAAUUCUCAAUUUCAAUUUUGAAACUAAGGAUUUGUUUGGUAAUAUUUCUGUUUCAAUGAAUAAUUUCUUUUCAAAAUUUUUUUUUUUUCUAUUUCUAGUCCCUAGAAUAAUUUAUGAGUAGAGGAACGCGUUUGGUAACUAUACAAAAUUUAUAUUAUCAAAAUAAAAAAAAGAAUAUGGAUGCAUUUGAUAUAAUCCAAAGUAUAAUUUAUUUUAAUUUUUAAUAAUUUUUAGAUUUUUCUUUUUUCUCUCUCUUCUUCUUCUUCUUCUUGCUCAUCCUCUAGCGGGCGAUGGUUGGCAGUGGCAAGGUGGCGAGGGGCGGCAGAUGGCUAGGAAGGAAGAAGAAAAG
rnacentral:lncRNA from 1 species